AUUGAACGCUGGCGGCAGGCCUAACACAUGCAAGUCGAGCGGAGUGGCGGACGGGUGAGUAAUGUCUAGGAAUCUGCCUGGUAGUGGGGGAUAACUACCGGAAACGGUCGCUAAUACCGCAUACUAUCAGAUGAGCCUAGGUCGGAUUAGCUAGUUGGUGGGGUAACGGCCUACCAAGGCGACGAUCCGUAACUGGUCUGAGAGGAUGAUCAGUCACACUGGAACUGAGACACGGUCCAGACUCCUACGGGAGGCAGCAGUGGGGAAUAUUGGACAAUGGGCGAAAGCCUGAUCCAGCCAUGCCGCGUGUGUGAAGAAGGCCUUCGGAUUGUAAAGCACUUUAAGUUGGGAGGCGUUACCAGCAGAAUAAGCACCGGCUAACUUCGUGCCAGCAGCCGCGGUAAUUC
rnacentral:rRNA from 1 species